UGUACUACAUGUGUAUUUUGCAGAACCUAAUAAACCGCCGGUGUGCGUGCGGAUGGAUCCAUGUUUCGAGCGCACUACAUGCUGGGAAAUGUGCGUGGAUAUGGGUUUCCGUGUCCCUCAUCCCCGUUGUAAGGGGAGUGUAGAUCGGCUUUGUUGCUGCCUAGACAGGACCCGUACAACUCAUUGAUGGUUCUCUUCCUGAGCUAUGCAAUGCUGAAUAACUGUAUGCUUGUGAUGAGCGUGUGCUGAUCUUAAUAAAAAAAUAUUUUUUCAUAUUGUAAGUUGUCUAACUUAUGCUCACAAGUAUAAUGAUUAUCAUCUAUUGUUUGUCACUUUUUUAUUUGGAGAAAGUCUAUUAUCUGUCUUGUGCAUGGAAAAGAUUGUAUGUCUCUCUCCAUGGGUGCAUGUAACUUUCAUUUGCAGGCUCAUUUGAGUUAUCAGCAGUGUAUCUAAAGCAACCUUAUUUUUAGACCAUAGAACAUUUCUUUUCCAGAAAAUAGGCCAUUAAAUUGCACUGGUUCCCAUCAAUCAAAAACUGCUCGUCGAAAUGAAAUCUAAUGAACAUCACCUCUCUAGGAUCCAUGUGACUACCCAAUCAUACAAAAGAUACACGAGCAGAAUGUGUGGCAUGUCCGUAUUCACAAAUGGAAGAUCACAACGGCUGCAAGCAAAAAGUACCUUCAGCGUCGAGCACAUUGUCAUCCGUCAAGGCCGCUGUUGCCGUGCCUAGCCAGCCGCCACAGUGCAGUCGCCACCGUGCUCAACCAGCAACCUCGGGCCUCAAUGUCCGGCAGGCCACGACCGCCACCACCGCUAUAGCCACGCCUCACUGCCCACCAGGGCCGCCCAUGAGCGAAUCACCGCCACCACCACUCUGUUUAGGGUUCGUGAAUGAGAAAAGGGAUCAAGAUAAUGCGAGAGCGAGAGAGAGAGCCGGUGGGUGCCGUUAGUCACUUGAUCGACGUGGCGGUCAAAACCAGGCCAUCUGGCCCGUUUUAGUCAAAACAUGGUCUACGCCACAGUAAGGCUACCUUAAUAAUUAUAUAGACAAAAAGUAUCCGGUUUACAAAGACUUACCCCUUCGAAGUAACCAGAUUUUGAGACCGCGCGAUCCGAGUUGAUCUUGAUCCACCCCUCGUCCGGCACCUCCCACUUCCGUCUAGUCCUUUCAGCAGGAGUCUGAACCCUUUGCUGAUGAAUGCCGCGCCACUCCCGAACGUGAUGCAUCACCAGUGGCGGAGACGGGCUUGGGGCAGCUAGGGCUAUAGCCCCAGGCCUAGCAUCAACUUACCUAAUAAUUCCUUCAUAGGAAGUAUAGAAAGUCACAGAAAUUUAGCGCUCAACAUAGCAUAGCCCCAGGCUUAACCUACUGCUAGCUCCGCCACUGUUCACCACACCGUCCUUCAUUUCAUGCGCUGGAGCUAUCUGCUUCCCAUCAUGAGCCUCAUUGCGAGCCAGCCAAAGCCCAUAGGCAGCUUGCAUGAUCAACUCUCUCUCUCAUCCUUGGCUCCAGUGAGCCAAUCAAGAAGCCAUCUGUGCAGAUCCCUGUGUGACACCAAACAGUCCAGCGGAGUGGCCACAAAACAACCCGAUUGGGACUGCACUAGUUUCCGAAACAGCCGAGAAUGGGGGCAAGACCAGAACCUAUGCUGCCACAAGCUGGACAGAAAACACCACCCUUAAUAUGCCAACGAUGAAGCUCCAAGCCCACAGCGAGACCAUUCCACAACAAACGCCAGAAGUGGAUCUUAACCUUCCCAGGAACGUUUGUGUCCCAGAGUACGAGGAAGGCCUUAUGUUGUAUGCAAUGGAAUGUACAUAGGUCCACGGGCGAAGCUAACAAUAUGGCAAGGUCUGGCUAACACGAGAGCCCCUUUUGACGCUCUUUGCGUCAAAUUGGCGGCAAAACGCACACUGGACGGCUUGACUGGACCGGCCCAUCGAACUGUACAGUGGGGCGAAAAAAGAUAGCAAAAAUCAAGGUGGAGCGCGAUGUGAGGAUUCGAACAGGAGACUUGACGCUGGUGAUUGCGACCUCCUAGCCACUCGACCAACCAUAUCUACCUAAUAACAUAGCAGCGCAGGGCUUUAAAAAAGUCAAUAGCGUAGAACUGGGCUGAUGUACUCUAGCGAAUAUGAAUCAUGUACAGUAGCGAACUAGAAUAAUUUACUGCGGUGAUAUUUCUUUUGAAACAAAAAUAUACUUCCUCUGAAAGUGUAUACUUUGGAAUUGUGCAAGCAAUUUCAGAAUUUCUGAACAAAUUGUUGGCAACAGGAAUUUAUUUUUCGAAUAUGUGAACAAAUUUUGAAACCGUGAACAUUUCUAAUUUUUUGAAAAAAUAUUUGAAAAAAUGGAUCAUUUCAUGAAAUUCCAAACAAAAAUACAUGACUACGAACAUUUUUGGAAUUUAUGAACGAAAAUUGAAAAAUGAAACUUUUCAUCAAAUUCUCAAAAAAUUGGAACCGCGAACAUAUUUCAAAUUUUAACCAAAUUUUGAAACCAUGAACUUUUGACUCUGAACAAAUUUUAAAAGAACAAGAACCAUUUUUGAAAUUGUGAACAAAAUUUUCAAAAUUAAAAUAUAUUUCUAAAUUUGCUGAACAUUUUAAAAAAAAAUAAUUUUGUAAUCAGAGAAUAUUUUUUGAAAUCCUGAACAAUAUUUGAAAAUUUUGAAUCAUGUACUGUAGCGAAUUAGAAUAGUUUACUUCAGUGAUUUUUUUUGUGAAACAAAAAUGUACUUCUUCUGAAAGUGUAUACUUUGGAAUUGUGCAAGCAAUUUUAGAAUUUCUGAACAAAUUGUUGGCAACAUGAAUAUAUUUUUCGAAUAUGUGAACAAAUUUUGAAACCGCAAACAUUUUAUAUUUUUUGAACAAAUAUUUGAAAAAAUGGAUCAUUUCAUGAAAUUCUGAACAAACAGUCAUGACUACAAACAUUUUUAGAAUUUCUGAAAAAAAUUGAAAAAUGAAACUUUUCAUCAAAUUCUCAAAAAACAUGGAACCGCGAACAUAUUUAAAAUUUUGACCAAAUUCUGAAAGUGUGAACAUUUGUUGAAUCUGAACAAAUUUAAAAAUAACAGGAACUGUUUGUGAAUUUGUUAACCAAAUUUUGAAAUUACGAACAAAAUUGUGAAAACAAGAACAUUUUUUGAAACACGAACAUUUUUUGAAAUUGUAAUUUUUUUAUUGAAAAUGACAAUAAUUUUUAAAUGCUGAACAUUUUUUUAAAUAUAUAUAUAUUUUAAAAGAGAACAUUUUUUGAAAUUCCGAACAAUACUUGAAAUUUUCGAAGAAAAAAAAAGAACAAAACUAGGCUUAAUAUAAGAAUGGAUCAAAACCCCCACAUGUCCGUAUUCUCUAGUUCAACAUGGCACCCUUUAAUUAGAGCCAAACCAAUAUAUUCUUUUUUUAUUAGCACGUGCCCAUAAUUUGUUUCAAUUAUAAUUAAUCAAUAUAUUCUAUUUUAUUGUCACAUGGAAGCUACCACUGUUAAUAAUUUAUGAAAUGCCAAAUAUACUUGGCAACGUGAAUAAUUUUCCAAAUUACGAUUUUUUUAAAUUCCACACAUUUUAAAAAGACGAACAAAAAAUUUGAACGAAAUAUUUGUUGAAAUUCACAAAUAUUUCUUAAAAGCAUGAACGUUUUAUAAAAAUACGUUUUUUUUGAAGUUGUGAACAAUUUUUGUCAACGGGAACAUGUUUUGAACAUAUGGAAGAAAUUUAGAAAAUGUGUCUUGUAAUGCAAAAAUUAAUCUUGAACAAAUUUGGGAAAACCCAAACAUUUUCCAAAAAAUUGGGAAUAACUUCUAAAAUUCUGAAAAGAAAUCAGAAUGACAAAAAUUUAAAUUUUCAAACACUUUCUAAAUAGGAAAGCAAUUUUGGAAUUCAUAACAUGAACUACCGAAUAUACUUGGCAACGUGAACAAUUUUCCAAAUUUUGAACAUUUUUUGAAAAUUCCAUACAUUUUUGGACAAAGCAACAACAAAAAAAUUGAAAAGAACAUUUACUGAAAUUCACAUACAUUUCUUAAAUACAUGAACAUUCUUAUAAAAAUAUGAAUGUUUUUACGUUGUGAACAAUAUUUUUAAAUGGGAAGGUGUGUUAAACAUGCAAAAGAAUUUUAGAAAAUGUGUUUCUUUAAUGUGAACAUUCUUUUCAAUUAUUAAACCUAUAUGUAAAUCAAGAAUAUUUUUUGAAUUUGAAACAUUUUUUAAGUGCAUUUGUUUAAAUCUCAUAACUUUUUACGAAAUUGUGAAUAAAAAUUGAAACAGCAAACAUUUUUUGAAAAUUGUGGAAUUUCAGAAAAAACUAUUAAAAAUAUACUUACAAUGGAAAAAAACAAACAGGAAAUAAAAAGAGAAAGAAACAGAAAAAGAAAAUUUCUCCAUAGGGCAGCACAAUUUUCAGGUUUUGGUAUGAGGCCGCUGAGAUGUUGGGCUUGGUUACUUCCAAUGGAGUGAUGGGCCGUGUUCAUGGGCUCAGCGCACAUGGUUAAGCCAGGGCACACUGAUCGAUCCAAUUUCAUGAGAAUGAGAAUCACGACUGCUCGGUUGACUUUACUAACAAAAGACUGAUCGGUUGACUACUGGUUCACGAGACUGAGAGAGGCGGUCACGACAAGGGCUUAGGGCAUGCCGCACGGGCACGGCAGUCCGACAGGUCUCAGGUGCUAGCUAAGAGUAUGUACACUCCUGCAUGAGCAAGCCAUUUAAACUAAGAGCAUCUCCAGCCGUUGAAGUCCCCAAGAUAAUCAUCGGUCCAAAAAUAGCACAUAGUGGGGGUUAAAACACUUCCUCCGGAUGAAACGCGAGCACAACGCCCAUGCUUCUUUUUUAGGAAUGCACAACGUCGACGCUUCAUUAUGGAGCAAAGCUGGUUGCCAGAAAACAAGACAAAAAAAGAAAGGAAAAAUAGCUCAAUUCAGCAGUAAUGUAAUUAUGCAAGGAAAUUCGGUUUGUUGGAGCAGGAAUUGUGUAAAACAAAGUGUCGGGAUAAGAUAUAAUUUGAGAAACCACCGACACCACUUCGCUCAUGCCGCCAUCCAUCCCCUUGGUUUGGCAUGCAUGACUCAGGAGUUUGCGCUGUGGCGAGGGUACCCGCCUCAGCCACCCCCUAGCUUGCCAUCGCAAUUGACAGCCUGCUCAGGACAGAGAACGAACAGCCAGAACAAAGGGUAGAGGAAUGCCAGGUCUGGAUAAACAGAUAGAAACGCCUGACCGGUAGAUGCAAAUAUACGCACGACGACCCCCAAAUUCCAACCCCGGUUCAAACAGAGAGGAUGGAGAAUCAAAUCCAUUUUAAGGCCAAAUCCUCCACCGGAAACCCCCAAUCUGAAAUCCCAGAAGAAACAGCCGCAUAGAACGCCUUAAACACUGCCACUUGCCUACCCCAAGUUGACUCUAGAUUGAGGGAAUCCGGUGCCACCCGUGUUGAAAUGAUCACCACACUCCAUUGCUCCUGCUCCCCUGGCUUUAAUGACAACUCCUCUUGCAUUUCCCAAAUUAAGUCUGGGUCACCGAACACCAGCGCUGGCCCCACUGAGUUCUUUUUUUCCACGAGGGAGCCCCAUCGAAUUCGUCAACGCACUGACCUCCUCAUUCUCCACCCUGUCCUCACCGUAACAAUGACCCAUGCCUGUGACUUUCUACUAAAGAAACCGGCCAAUCCUUCUUGUUUUUCAAAUCAUGCAGGAGAAUUGCAUGUGUUGUAUUAAGAGCGAAGAGAAAAAACAGAUUAAAACCCAAAGACGACCACAACAUUCAAAACAAAGGAGCAGGUAAAGGUCUAAACAAAAGAACACUUUUGCUUGGUACAACCCCGUCUACACAUCAACGUAGGAGAUCUCUUCAUACCCCUUCAGGUAGGAUGGUCUUCCUAUAAAAGCAUUGGACCUUGUGUUAGCUCAAUAUAUUCGCUUGAAAUGCUUGUAGUUCGCUUACCAUUCCCUACUAGUUGUAGCUCGUUAGAAUAGAUUCAUUCAUAGAUGGCAUACCAGAUAAAGAGAGAAGUCUCAAUCACGAGGAGUUGGACUAUGCUACUUGGACUAGGAUGCAUCCGGGAAAAAUCAGUCACCAUGAACAUGACAUCUGCUGCUUGGUCUUGAGUGUGCGGAGCAAGUGCCGCCCUCGUGCAACCGUGCUGGCUUCUGCUGAUGGUCAUUGCACCCUGGGUCACUGCGGUGGUUUUGGUAUGACAUUUGCACUACAGCAGGAGGUGGUUCAUCCAGCUGUGUCUGCGCCGAGGGUAUGUGUUGGGAAACAUGGGUCAGGAUGAUGAAACAUCACCUUCACCUUUAUCAGAGGUUUAGUCGAUAACAUGCCCCUCUUGGCAUAGCAAUGAAGAACAUGUUCGCUCUGCCCACGUGUUUCCCGCUCCGAGCAACCUCCAAAAGACCAAAACGGGCCAAGCCAAAUCUUUCCUCCCUUCUCUCACCCACCGAUCACUCAAAUGACUCAUCAAGCAACCCUAUCUCUUGCUCUCUAAGGCACCCAUGCACAUGCACACCCAAAUUACAAUGCCAAUGCCAAGACCAAGCGGCACCCCCUCAUUGUCCUAUCUUGCUUUGCACGGCGUGCACGCUGGCCGAACACGAUGGUACGCUUGGGCCUGGCAUCGACCAUUUUCAUGGCGCCAGAACCGUCCAUGUACCCGUCACAUACGUGCCAUGAUGGUCACCACUUGAGCGCCCGCUCUGUGCUCCCACCGUCGAUCCCGUACUCCCAGGACGUAAUGUCAUUGUUUUCCUCCCGGUGCACUACGGACGACGUGUUGGUGUUGUCCGCUGUCCGAUGCGGAGGCCACCAUUGUGCAGCCCGAGCCCGACUCCGUGUUCGUGCUCUUCGGCUCCGCCACACCCACAGCCAUCACUACGAUGCAAUAUUCCGCGCCUCUGGCCCCGCACCACGUGGCAUGGGUCUCGCUCUCAGUUACGGGGCUAUUGGCUGCCAUGUGGUCGGUGUAGCGCAUAGGACCGACCUCGGGAUAACGACAAUGUUUAUUCAGGUCUCAUGCGUCAGGGAAAGUUGGCCACUACUUUGGUCGGUCGGUUGUGCUGGGUUUGCCUGCCCUAAUUUAUUUUGAGCAGUUUUCAGUAUUCUCUUGUAAAUUUCAUCCUUGUGUUCAUAAAUUGUUUGGCAGGUGCUACAUUCUAUAGCCUUUUUUUACUUUGUGUUUUUUUGUGUGGAGGUUAUUUCGGACAUUCUUGUAAUAGGUUGGAUGUGUUAUUUGUUAGUAAUUAUAUGGCAUUAUCAUUCUGUUCGUAUGUUUUGUAAAUUCUUUGGUACCUUCUUUUGGACAAAGAACUAUAUAUUAAUAUCAAGAAAAUAUUAGUCACACGUGACUUCUGCAGCGACACAAUAUUAAGACCUAGUCGGGACAUUGAGGUUGCACACAACCAAAAAGAUAAGAAAGAAGAAGAAUGAAAAAUAAAGAGACGCGAUGCAACAAGAACCAGUAAAAAGCAAAUAAAUUCCAACAUCAACCACUAUCCUUUGACAACACAUGAGCUACAAGUAAUGUUCUUCGUAAGAAACGCCUUCAAAAAGAGAGACACACAAACACCGAAUCGCUAGAUCCAACCGCUAAAUGUCGGAUCUUGGAUUUUCCAGGUGUGGCCAUCGACAAUUGGCCGUAGGGUUUUCAACCUUGAACUUGAGACCCGGUACUCAAAAGGCACCAUGUGUUUCCGCCACCACGUGCCCAAGAAGACAAUGCUGCCUUGAGAGGUGCUUCCACACAACCUGAUCACGAGAAAAUUAAAACAAAACCGUUCCAUGGCAAAACAGGCCCAGAGAGAUGCCAGCGUGUGGACCCUGACGUGGGGAUUCCCACAUAAUCAAGGUCCUGACUGUGAAUUAUGAAAUACCACACACAAGGGAUAGUAGAUCAUUAUCGACAGCUUCAAAAUACUGUGUUGCAAGUGCUUCAAAGCCAGUGUGGUAUAAUCCGAUGGCGAUGAAGGCGCCUAAAAAUAGAAAGACGAAGUCGCACCAGCACGGUCCGUGCGCCAGCCCUGCACCGCUUCAAGAUAUCGUUGUUGCUCUCACGUCACCUUCGCUGCAGCUUUAAUUAUGGCCACUAGGAGUACCUGUCACCAGACUGCUCAUAUCUAUGGCCUUGCCCUUAACUUCCAGGACAUGAUCGAAGUGCGGCCAUGUGAUCCCAUAGUUUAAAAAAUGAUUGUAGCAAAAGCUAUCGUGCCAUCUGAAAAAUGAUGCAUCGAUCUACCCAAACAAUUGACUGUUGUCUGUUGAACAUAAUUUCCCCCCUAAUCAGCAUUAUGAUGGCGAGUACAUUUUUUCCCGAGUUGCGCUAGUUUCCCUACACAUUGUCUAUAUGGUGCAUCAAGACAUUAAUUGGUUUGGGCCAUGAAAUGUUCAUGGCGCCAAUUCGGUGGAGGACGCGCUAUAUUGCUCACCCGACGCCGAAUAUGAAGUCUCGCGCUAGGUUAGGAGCGCUCUCCAAAAAUUACGUUGAUUGAGGAUGGGAUGGAAACUCUGCUAGAGCGGUUUUUUCAACCAAAAUUGCCAUAAUGGCGGUUACUAUGGUGAUAGGUCCGAGAUAGCAAUUCUGCUAGAGUUGCUCAUAGUCGGCAACCAUGGCCACUUCUAUUUACCGUAUAUGUACGCAACUCAUUUUAUUGGUGCAUAUGCAUGCAACUAAGUAAAUUAACUACCAUAUAUAUGGUUUUAGAUAAAGACGUUUCAGGUCUAAAACCCAGAAAUUAUGGUAAAAAAAACUCACGUUAGUCUCGUGCUUAAAAUAAAAAUGUGACUAAAAUACAUAUAUCAUCCAUCCUUCUAAACUUUUGGUUCAUCAAUUGACUAUGCGACCCUUGGUAUUCGAUCGAGCAGCCCUUGAGCUCCGCAGACUCAUGUUGCUCCAAGUUUAUAUUGUUUUACUCAUCUAAAUACUUGUAGUAUGAACACUUGACCCUUAUUAAUUAAAUCCAUAUAUCAUACCAUAUCACGUGCGAUUCAAAAUAUAGCUUUUUUGUAGCUUCAAACGUAAACACAUAUCACAUGCGAUUCAAAAUAUAGCUCUUCUACUUAUACAGGAUGAAAGAACAAGAGGUUGUUGAACUAAAAUUUAUGGAUUGUCAGCUUUAACUUCUCUCUUUCAGAAUAAGAAAGAGAAGAUAGGAUGUUAAUAUUUGGUUGAUGGAUAGUUAGUGCAACCACCAAGGCACCAACCUUCCUUUGUUUUAAUAAUAUUGCAUCCAAUCUUUGCCCCAUAUAUUCGCUCCACAUGCUAAUGGCAUAUAUGCUUGCAAUACCUCCUACUUGUCAUACCUCUCAUCAGAAUAAUUGCACCCGUAGAUGAGGCUCUAGAUAAAUAUGAAGACCUAAUACGAAAAGUUGGAUAAGUGCAAUGCUAUUUGGACUAGGAGGCAUCAGGGAACAAUCAAGGUGCUACAUGGUACAUUACUGCAGAGGGUUAGGGUUUAGAAGUUAAUGGAUACAUGUGAGAGACGAUUAGAUAUGGGAAUGCUCUCCUUUGUUUGUACUGACACCUACAUGCUGGAACAGUCUGCCCAUGGCACUUAGAGCCUCAGACGCAAUAGUGAACUUUCUGGUAUCAGUGUUCGGUGGAUACUACUCUGAGCUUCAAAAUUACUCACCACCACAACCAGCCUCCCUCAGAUGCUCCUGUUCAGCGCUUUUAGCCAAAUAUGCGCUAUAACACACUAUAGACCNNNNNNNNNNNNNNNNNNNNNNNNNNNNNNNNNNNNNNNNNNNNNNNNNNNNNNNNNNNNNNNNNNNNNNNNNNNNNNNNNNNNNNNNNNNNNNNNNNNNNNNNNNNNNNNNNNNNNNNNNNNNNNNNNNNNNNNNNNNNNNNNNNNNNNNNNNNNNNNNNNNNNNNNNNNNNNNNNNNNNNNNNNNNNNNNNNNNNNNNNNNNNNNNNNNNNNNNNNNNNNNNNNNNNNNNNNNNNNNNNNNNNNNNNNNNNNNNNNNNNNNNNNNNNNNNNNNNNNNNNNNNNNNNNNNNNNNNNNNNNNNNNNNNNNNNNNNNNNNNNNNNNNNNNNNNNNNNNUAUAAAAGAAAACAAGCUACUACACGAGCUGUAUACAAGAAAAAAAAUAGCACCCUUCCUUUUUACAAAAAUGACUCGGGACUAUUAUACAAGUUUAUUAAAAGUAGAAAGCACCCCAAACAUAAUAAAAAAGAUCAUUGUCGUCACCAAAAUGAGUCACUAUCACCACUUCCGUACCGAAGGUGAUCUCACCUUGUCGAUAAAAGACGGGAAGUCUUCAUGCAUGUUACCCUAGGGACCAACACACUGGACCCGCAAUCGCCACCAUUCAAGCCUUGAAUUGAUAGGGAGAAACUGACAGAAAAUCUCACUGUUGCAUACACAUGAUGAGCGAUAUUAAAUCGCCACCACAAGUAGCUGCCAGAAAUCUACGUUGGACCUCCAUAUAAUCCCUCUCGAGGGAUGAGCUUGAGGAUAAACGAAGUCAGAAUCUGACUCGAAGAAGAAGCGACACCAUCUAUCUGAGCGCCACCCCUGCGAGGACUAAAACCCCAACCUAUCUACUAACUAGAGCCGAUGCACCAGGAUUCCCCUCCCCGCCACCGGCCACCAGAGUGGCAGACGGAGAGGAGGCGAGUCCAUGGGCUCAGCGGCGAAGAUUGAGGGGAGCAAAGCUUUGUUGUACUACCCUUGUGAGAGGGAAAAAAAUAUGUUAGACGCCCUCGCUUUGUAUAUGAAAGCGGCAUGCUACUCACCACCGGGAAAAACUAGUUUUUUGAGAAAUUAAAAAUGUUACUAUGAAAAUACAUUAGUGAAUUUAAAAAGUGUUCAUGAAUUUUAAAAUUUAUAAUCCACUUCGAUUUUUUUUCCAAAUUUUAAAAUAAGUUCCAGAAUUUUCGAAAUGUUUAUUUUUUAGAAAUUGAACAAAUUUUGAAGUUUUAUUUCUGCAUUUUGAACAAUUAUUAUGAUUUUUGAAAAAUUCUCUCGAAUUUACAAAUAUAUUAGCAAAUUUCAAAGACAUAUGUGAGUUCAAGAAUAUAGCAAUUUACAGAUGUUAAUAAUUUUUUUAAAUAUGUGUUGUUUAAAGAUAUUCAAAAAUUGAUUUUUUUAUUACAAUUAUGGUAAAUGUUCAUGAGUUAAAUUGCAAAACAAUUGAGGACAAGGUGGAAAAAGAAUAAUGAAGUAUGCACUAGAAGAAAACCAUAUUUAGUCUGAUAGAAAAGAAAACCCGCAUGGGUCCCAGUGUAAGUUGACUUGUUUGUACUCUAUCCUCCCCUGUGGGUGAAUCUUAUAGUUUUCGGCCUCUCUCAUCUGGCGUUGAGCGGACCUAUGCUAUCGGUAGAGACUAAGUUGACACAGUUGACGACUUUACCCAAUCCCAUUUACCUAUAGCCCACCUGGAAAAAUGACCACGGUGAAAAAACAAACAGAAUCCAUCCAUGCACAAGUGCUACAUGAGUUAGUGCACUAGAGAGGGUUAAUGUUUGAGAGUUAAUGGAUACAUAUGAGAGAUGCUGAAUACUUGGAAUGCUCCCCUUCAUUUGCAUAGAGACCUUCGCACUAGAAAAAAAAAGACCUUCGCACUAAAAAAAAAAGACCUUCGCACUAGAACUCAUUCGCAGGGCCAGUCAAAGACACUGACAGCUGGACCAUAGCAGCAACUGCAAAAAUUGUUGCACCAGUGGUCAAUGGACUACCAAGAACUGCCACAUCCAGCAGCCACUCACACCCUUGCCUAGAGGCGCACCUAUAAUAUCGGUCUGGGAUUAAGUGAUCUCCCCUAUGAUUUUGGCACAAUCCCAUGUACAUAUAGCUCCUUUUUGGGGAAAAUGUACCUAUAGCUCAGUAAAAAAAGUGACACCAGUGAAAAAUCAAACUGACCCCAGCCCAUCAGCAUACAUCCAUGCAUGCACAAGUGCAAAGCUACAAAACACUACUUUGUCUAGGGCGAGCAAAUUUAGCAACUACUCCCUUCAUUCCUAAAUAUAAGCCUUUUUAGAAAUUUUAAUAUAGAUUACAUAUGAAGCAAAAUGAGUGUAUCUGCACUCUAAAAUAUGUCUAUGUACAUUUAUACAUAUUUUAGUAUAGACUAGAUAUGAAGCAAAAUGAGUGUAUCUACGCUGUAAAAUAUGUCUAUAUACAUUCGUAUGUAGUCUCUAUUAAAAUUCCUAAAAAGGUUUAUAUUUUGAAACAGAAAGAGUACUAUAAGAGCAUCUUCAACAAUGGCGCCAAAAAACGCGUGUGCGCAGCAACUGCCAUUUUAGCGCGCGGGACGUUUCCGCGCGCUCCAGCGAAGGCGGAAAACUAGCACGCACGAGAAACGAUUGCGCGCACGCAGUAGAAAGCGGGCCGUAGCGCGCUAGAUUUGGCGCACCGCUUCCGGCGCGCCUAUAAAUUGCGGCGCUCGCCACGCGGCCACCCAUCGCCAUCCACACUGCCACGCGCGCUCUCGCGGCUUCCUCUGCUUCCUCUGCCGCUUCCUCGCCCCGCCACCGACGCGCCACCACCGCGCCACCAUGUCUCCGCGCCGCCGGGGAUCUUCGGGCUACCGCGGCGUCCGUGAGCGCCCCUCCGGCGCCUUCUACGCCGAGAUCCGGUCUGGCGGACAGGCGUCGACGCAAGACACUGGCCAUAUCGCAGAUCGAUCUUGUUAACACAGGUGGGAGGUCAUUCUUCACCCCAGACGAUGAUCAUUGGGAAGAAACGUGGCUCGAUACCUCGGACAACACCAGCGAGAAUGAUUCAGAGUAGGGUCUAAUUGCACCGUAGUUUUUUAAUAGUGUUGGACUAGUUUUUUUAUCUAUCUAUCCUAUGAUGAACUAUGUACGCACUGUGAAAUAUCUAUGUAUCUUUUUUUUAAUCUAUGAAUAUGUCUUUUAUAUUUAGUUCGGAGUGCAUAUGUUGUUUGUGCUGCUCGCGCACGCUGCAUUUUAUUGCGGCCGUUGGAGCCAGCCCUGGCCGCCGUGCCAAAACAUACGAUUGGCUCGCUGCAAACGCAUUUUUAGCGCGCCGCGCGUUGGACGAGUGUUGGAGAUGCUCUAAAACAAUUACUCGGCAACGUCGAGUUGUCUUGCUUGCGAGAAGCACUUCCCCGUUGGUGUCAAAAAAAAAAAUCAGUCUCUCCUACUUAACGAACGACAUCAAUAAUCGGGACAAGCCCAUGCGCGUGGACGGUGAAGACGUAUCCCAUGACUCCUUCUCUAGUCAACCACGGAACAGAAAGAUGGUGAGCACGCUAAUCCCAGCUACGUACAACACAAGAGAAGGUCCUCACUCACCGUGAACAGAAUCCUCGAAGCAGAGGAGGAAACGCAAGGCCUCCUUUGUCUGGACCAUGAGGCUAUCAUCAUAGUGCUGAUUUCUCUAUAAGAUGAACCCAUGCUGACAGUUUUGCUCUCCAUACGACAUGAAGAGCAGCUCGCCGAGGUCCACCGUGGCGGCUAUCUUGGUACCGCGUCGAAGCUCUCCAGGUAGUAUCAUAACAAGUCGGUAAAGAUCAAACGGCGCCAUCCUUCAUCUUUGACUCACACUUCUUAAGUCACUUUAUUUUGCCGAGUUCUCGACAGAUGUUACUCGACAACGUUCUGUUUGCCUAUGGAGUGUACGCUGAAUGCCAUUUGCCAAGAGCAGUUUUCGGUGAUGCCUUUGCUGAGUUUUUUUAGUCCUUCACAAAGUUUCUUGGGCACUCAACAAAGUAGGAGAUUCCAGUAGUUCGUUCACGUAUAUUAAUCUAGUGCCUAGACCUAUCAAGAACACCUUUAGCUUCUUGAUAUCGCUUCAGAGAUGUAUGCAUGCAACCAAGUAAAUUAAGUAUAAUUUGGGUUAAUUAUUCGAUGUUGUAUUAAGAUGUUUAAUGUGGAUUUUGUGUCAAGAGAUGUCGAGUUCAACGUCUUACCAAUAUACUACUAAAAUUUGAUGAUUCACAUUAACCUUAACCUUAUGCUUUUCAGACCUCAAUGAGUAUAGAAAUGGUAACACAGUUCACAGACCCAUCUUGUAAACAUUAUUGUUCACCCAAUUGAAUAGAUAAUGCUAGAGAAUAUGUGAAACUUGGUCUUGCAGACAGGCAUCCUUUGAGGUCUAUGGGCUUAAUUGUCUCCAAAUUGCUAUUGUUUAUUUUUCUAACUACUUGUAAUUAGCACAACUUUAGUAGAUUUCACACCCUAUGAAUGUCAAGCGCUAAAUACAAGCUCUGUUGUUUGAUUAAGUUUCGAUUCACGUCUUAAUGCGUAUCAUGUGUCUAUCAAAAUAGAGAUGUUCUGCUUCCACCAGGUGCAUUUAUAGACUCUGUAAUAAAAGCACAUGGAUGGUUGGAUUCGGGUUCUCUUCUUCAAGCAAAAGAUGUGGUCUUAAUGUUUGUUGGAUGGAUAACUUAUGCAACCACCAUCCUUCCGUUGUUUUUAAAAGCAUUUGAUCUUGCCUUUGCUCAAUAUAUUGGCUUGGCAAGCUUGUAACCGGCUUAUGAUUCCCUACUUGUUGUCACCCGUUAGAAUAGGUUCACCCAUAAAUGGAAUACUACAUCAAGAGAGGAACCCAAUAUGGAGGGGUUGGAUAUGUACUUUGCUGCUUGGAUUAUGAGGCAUCGGUUAACAAUCAGCUGCCGGCUCUUGACAUCCCGCGGCCCAGUGGUCGACAUUUUGCGCCACUCUUCUUCUAUAGGGUCGGAGCAGCCCCCGUGCAACCACAAAUGACUUUGCUCAGGGUUGGUGUUGAUGAGAGACCCAUGGUCGUUGCAUUUGGAGAAUGACUUGUGAAGACGAUGACAUUUAGAUAGACUAAUUGAGACGCACCUUGGUUUUCAAGGUGGCAAGGUUAAGAAAAAGGCGAGUUUCAUCAGAGCUUUUAGUCGUCCGCUCGUGGCAUGGCGACAAAAUCCCCGAAGCAGAGCAGGAAACGCAAGGCCUCCUUGGUCUGGACCAUGAGGCUAUCAUAGUGCCGAUUUCUCUAUAAGAUGAACCCAUGCCGACAGUUUUGCUCUACACACGACACGAAGAGCAGCUCGCCGAGAUCCACCGUUGCGGCUAUCAUUGUACCGCGUCGAAGCUCUCCAGGUAGCAUCAUAACAAGUCGGGAAAGACCAAACGGCGCCAUCCUUCAUCCUUAACUCACAGUUCUAAAGUCACUUUAUUUUGCUGAGAUUACCCAUUUGGUUCUCGGGAAUAAGUAUGCCGAGCUCUCCGCAUACGGUACUCGACAACGUUCUGUUUGCCUAGGGGGUGUACGCCGAAUGACAUUUUCCGAGAACAGUUUUCGGCAAUGGCUUUGCUGAGUUCUUUUUCGUCCUCCACAGAGUUUCUUGGGCACUCAGCAAAGUAGGAGAUUCCACUAAUGGAAUAGUGAAUGGUCGUUCACGUAUAUUAAUCUAAUGUCUAGACCUAUCAAGAACAUCUUUAGCUUCUUGAUAUGGCGUCAGAAGUGUAUGCAUGCAACCAAGUAAAUUAAGUAUAAUUUGGGUAAAUUAGUCGAUGUUGUAUUAAGAUGUUUAAUAUGGAUUUUGAGUCAAGAGAUGUCGAGUUCAAAGUCUUACCAAUAUAGUAGUAAAAGUUCUUGAUUCACAUUACCCUUAACCUCAUCUUUUUCAGACCUUAAUGAGUAUAGAAAUGUUAACACACUUCGUACACCCAUCUUGUAAACAUUAUUGUUCACGCAAUUCAAUAGAUGAUGCUAGAGAAUAUGUGAAACUUGGUCUUGCAGACAGACAUCCUUUGAGGUCUAUGGGCUUAAUUGUCUCCAAAUUGCUAUUGUUUUAUUUUUCUAACUAAUUGUAAUUACCACAACUUUAAUAGAUUUCACACCAUAUGAAUGUCAAGCGCUAAAUACGAGCUCUCUUGGUUGAUUAACUUCCGAUUCACAUCUUAAUGCGCAUCACGUGUCAUUCAAAAUAGUUUUGUUCUGCUUCCACCGGGUGCAUUUAUAGACUCUGUAAUAGAAGCACAUGGAUGGUUGGAUUCGGGUAUGUUCUUCAAACAAAAGAUGUGGUCUUAAUGUUUGUUGGAUGGAUAACUUAUGCAACCACCAUCCUUCCUUUGUUUUAAGAGCAUUGGAUCUUGCCUUAGCUCAGUAUAUUCGCUUGGUAUGCUUGUAGCAUGCUUAUCAUUCCCUACUUGUCACUUGUCGGAAUAGUUUCACCCAUAGAUGGAAUACUAGAUCAAGAGAGAAAUCGCAGUCACCAGAAGUUGGGCUUGUACUUUGCUGCAUGGAUUAUGAGGCAUCCGGGAACAAUCAGCUGCAGGUUGCUGAACACCCGCGGCUUUGAGAUCUACAUCCUGCGCUAGUCAUCUUCUAUGGGGUCGGCGCAGCCCCUGUGCAACCACAUAUUGGUUCACUCAGCGUCGGUAUUCGUGAGAGAGCCGGGGUCGUUACAUUUUGAGAAUGAUUUGUGAACACUGUGACAUUUGGACAGAUUCAUCUUGCCAUAUCUCGGUUCUCACCCUGGCGAGAUUAAGAAAAAGGCGAGUUUCAUCGGAGGUUUUAGCCGUUUGCUCUACCCACUUCAAAGCCGACCAAAUCAAAUCUCGUCCCACUCAUCCCACACAUAUUCAUCAGACACACACACCUCGUCGACAGAAAUCCACUCGCCCUCCAUGCCACCCCAUGCACGCACACUCACCUCACAGUGCCAAUGGCAACAACCAGCGCCACCUCGCCUAACACAUCCUCGCCAUCCUCGUGCUCUGCACCGCGUGCCGUCCAUGCUCCAGGCGUCACCAUCUCCGCAAAGCCAGAGCAGUCGUCGUACCCGCUCUUGCAGCCGCCGUCGAACGAAGCACCCACCAUCCUGUCAAGCCUGAGCCCCCCCCCCUCUCCCAAUCCCAACGCGCUCGAGCCCGCCUCUGCGCGUGUUCGCGCCCUUUGUAGGUCGGUCUGGGAUGCAGUCCUCCGCGCCCCCGCCGCCCCGCGUAGCAUCGGCGGCGCUCUCGGCCAUGGGGCUCAUAGACGCAUCAGGAAAAGUUGGCCAAAAUGUUUGUAGGUCGGUUGGGCCCUGUGUUUGCCUGCGCCGUGUUUUUUAGAUUUUUUAGUAAACUCUUCUAAGUUUCAUCCAUGUGUUGAUAAUUUUUGGCCAGGUGCUAUAUUCUAUAGACUUUUUUUUGCGAAUUUUGUUAUGUGAAGAUUUUUGGGCCAUUCUUGUAAUAAGACUAGACCGAAUAGUUUGUUGAUGAUUAUACGAAAUUAUCAUCCUUUUUCCAAUAAAGCGGGCUUUAUUAACUCAAAUGUAGCAUUAAGGGGAUACAGACACAUGAUGAGGAAUACCCGUCUCUGCACAACUAGCAUGGACACAGCCAAACACCAAUAAUUUGACAAAGCAAAAUUUAAAAACCGACAUAUCGGCAAUAGUAAAGCCAUAGGACCAACACUAUGCCUAUGUCAAUGGAGGUGAUGGACCUAUUUGUAGAUUAUGCUGUCACCUAUGUUGGGUGAAAAAGUCCCUAGCCACCCGCUCCAACUACAUACACACCCCUUGAACAGCCAUUUCUACACCGUAUGGUGUAGCAUAGAUCACAUAUGAAGUCCAUGAGUACAAUGAAAAAUAGCCUGCAAAUGAAUGGACUUUUUACCAUUGAGCACAAAAACAUUUCUACGUAGUCAUAGCCAUCAUAAUGAGGCCGACGUUCCCACCCUUAUUACUGUCCUAAAUCUAUUUGGGAUUCCAUCCAACAAGUCACAGUAUAUGUUGGUAACACUAAUCACGGAUACAAAUUGGAUGCUAUUUGAAUGACUAACUAUGUAGAGUUUGCAAAGUUGCACUGAGAAAGAUUUGUUUGAUUGUCUCAUCGUCAACACUAAAACUACACUUCUUGUUUCCCUGCCAAUUGUGACGAGCAAGAUUGUCUUUGGUUAGCAAAACUCGCCCUCGAAGAUAGCACAUAAAAACCUUGCCUUUUAGUGGAAUCUUCGACUUCCAAAUUUGCCUAUUGUUCUCCACUGGAUUCUCUCAAUGCGUAAGUGCACAGUAAAUAGAGUCGACUAUGAAGUACCCAUGUGCAUUGAGAUUCCGGCAGAAAAUAUCAUGUGCUUGUGUCAGGUUAAUCAAAUCCAAUCGGCAAGGAAGAUUUUUAAAUUUUGAGAGAGAAUUUCACUUCUCGGUCUCUUCACCAACUAGGGAUGCACAUAUUCUUUUUAGCAUGAGUACCAAGAUAAGCAUGGUUCUCAAAGAUUUUUUUUCAGCCCCUAGUUGUGUUCUCAAAUUCCAAACGAAAGAGAAAACAAUUGAAGGGUAAUCAGCCUUCCAGGGACCUAUGCGCAAACAUAACAGGCAGUCACGAGGGACUCUUUGCGAUAAUAACCACAACACCAAGCUCUGCCCACGCUCACACCCACUGACGUGGGGCCAUACGCCAGCUGUCAAGCCAUGCGGACGACGCAUACAUGGGCGUACGAGCAAAGGCACCGUAUAUGCACCAUUCGGACAAGUUAUGGCACCACUUUUACGUAUUUUGCAACUUUAGGCACUAAACUGAACGCGCUGGACAAGUUUAGGCACCUGUGGUGUAUUUACAUCUUUCCCAAUCUAGUCCACCUUGACAGUUAAUGCAUGCUUCAGCUAGAUGACGACAAGUAAUGUGCUUGCGAUUGCAGGGUAAUCAUGUUGUUUCUGAUAGCUUUGGCUGCACCUAUUAUUUGCCUCUUAUUACAUAUCAGGAAAUCACUGGUUCUAGGAGUGCCAUUUUUUCGACAAAGAGUUAUAUAUUAACAUCAAUAAUAUAUUAGGUACACAUGACUUAUAAAACGACACAAUAGUAAUACCUAGUAGAGACAAUGAGGCCGCACAUCACUUUUGUUUUCAAAUAAGGCCAUCGCAUGGCUUUAAAUUAAUGAAGCCCUUACAACGGCCAGUAUAACACGACACCAAACACACAACAACUAAAGUAAAAAAAAUGAAACAAAACAAAAGCGGCUAGAUACAAGGUGCCGAGGACCAUCAACUAAACCCCAAAAGACUACUGGAAAACAUUGGCUGGGACAAGGAAGCACCGCUUGAAGUCAUCGAGGCCCUCAUCCACCAUGAAGCCAACCGAAGCAAGAAUGAGGAUAACUCAAGAAGGGGACUAGUCAUCAAGGGACGCCAUGUCGUCGCCAUCACCUGGACACGGAGCAAUAGCGCCAUCCAACUAUAUCGUCUAAAGGAGCACCCUGCCCCCUCGCCAUGGCUCAAAGGGCGUCGUACCGUCGACAAUGAGAACGCUCACCUAGCUUCUGGAUGGACACUAACGCUGAGACCACAUUUGAGGAUUCCGAACAUAACCGCUCGACAAACUAACACAUCUUGAGAUGACCAUCAGAGACGCUACAGAACCAUCAAGCGAAGAGGAAAUUUUCAUCCAGUAACACACCAUCGACCACCACAAAGGACCUUGCUCAUGAGACGGUGCCUCCAAGAAGGGAAUGACAUGACAGUGCCACCACUGCACAACUUCACAUGUCAGAACCAUGGCUUUCACACAGAGCACACCGUGGAGGAGGACAACCCACAGAGACGCCUCCAAGGAGGGAAACGACGCUCGAGAGCGCUGCCGUCACUGGCAAUGACAUCUUUGUGCAGAGUAUUCACCGAGAUACAGGCCCCCAGCCAAAUAAGGUCAUAUGUCAACACCCACCAGCGGCCAAAGCACAUCGGAGAGUUGAGGUAGCCAGAUGGUGAAGCGAGCAACACAUAGAUCUAUUCAAGCGGUGCGGAGACUACACCUAAACCAAAUAAUCGAGCGGGCCACGGUGCCGCGGCCACGGCGCCACACCAGCACCGCACAACAGCACGCGGCGCAAGAAUGCUGCCAUGCCAGCCGUCGGGGGCCGCCACUCUGGGAAACAUAGGAUCGACCUCAUCCGUCCCCUUCGAAAGGACAAGCCACAAGCACGCAACCAACCGACCCAACUGCCAUGAUAGUGCUACUCUGGUACACCCAGCCUCGAAACGCACACCUGCAGGCAGAGCCCAACCAACUUCGAUGGUGGCCUACCAUCAGAGAAAAGGCCUUGUUUGGCAUAGGCACGACGUUGACUAGCUGGGACAGGCAGGAGCCCCUAGCCCCAACCUGUGGCCAACAGUGGUCGAGAAGGGCGACUGUGAUCAAGCCAACCUGCACCCUUGUGGGCAGGCCCCCAUGGCACAGAUCUGGAGCAGGCAACGUCGUUCCCGCGGCGCCACAGACGGCUGGGCUUGAAGACGGAGGGCUCCGCUCAUCCUACGCGGGGAGAGGCCAGGAAGGUACAUGGCGAUGUGGAAGAUCUGGGUCUUUGCGCCGACGAUCCAUAGCAUGAGCGGGCAGGGGAGAGGCGGGGGGGAGAGGAGGUGGAGGGGAGGCCCCGCCGUCGCCGCGGGCGGCAAUCGGCGGUGGCGGCAAGGUGGGGAAGGGCACUAGUGGGGGACUGACGGCGCUAGGGUUGGCUCCCCCGAGUCGACCAGGGAGGACGACACGGGGUUCGAGGUGGGGGAAAAUAUUUUAUGUAUCCGGCAAAACACGACUAAAAAGUUAAGAAAGAGGAAGAAUGAAGAAUAAACAGAGGCAACACAACAAAACCCUGUAAGANNNNNNNNNNNNNNNNNNNNNNNNNNNNNNNNNNNNNNNNNNNNNNNNNNNNNNNNNNNNNNNNNNNNNNNNNNNNNNNNNNNNNNNNNNNNNNNNNNNNNNNNNNNNNNNNNNNNNNNNNNNNNNNNNNNNNNNNNNNNNNNNNNNNNNNNNNNNNNNNNNNNNNNNNNNNNNNNNNNNNNNNNNNNNNNNNNNNNNNNNNNNNNNNNNNNNNNNNNNNNNNNNNNNNNNNNNNNNNNNNNNNNNNNNNNNNNNNNNNNNNNNNNNNNNNNNNNNNNNNNNNNNNNNNNNNNNNNNNNNNNNNNNNNNNNNNNNNNNNNNNNNNNNNNNNUAGAAGGGGUAGUAUUGUCCAUACUAAAUUAUGUAUUAGUGUACCCACCGUCCGUCGUAGGGCCGGUCGCCCGUGUACGUCGCGCCCCGUACGCCCGCGUCGUACGUCGCGCCCCGUGUGGUUCGGUAGUGUGAUCGAGGAAAAAAAACGCCCCACACCGACACCCCAUCUACGCGUACGCAACCCUAGCGGCAUCAACGCCGCCGUGGUCCGCCGCCGUCACGACGUCGGGCGGCGUCCGUAGUCACCCACGCGGUGUCUCACCGGUGUCGCGUGAAACCGACACCCCAUCCCCGCGUAGGAAACCCUAGCGGCAUCAACGCCGCCGUGGUCCACCGCCGUCAUGACGUCGACCCCGACGUGCCCGUCUAGUCGCGAGCACCGACGGCGUCUGUAGUCACCCACACGUCGUGACGCCGGUGAAACGCCCAGCGCUCCCGUGAACGUUCUGUCCUGGUAUGCGCCCUCCACGACGUGGGUGGCAGCAACGCAUCGGCGUCGACCCCAGGCGAGGACCCCUCGAUGGCGCACAGUAGGUUCCCGGGCUCUUUUUUUUUUCUUUUUGAUUUGUCCAUUGCAUUUUUGUGCAUUUUUGUAUGUAAAAUGAUUCACUACUUAGCUAAAUAAGAGAGGAGAGUAGUGACCUCUUAAUGACCUCAUAAUGAUUUUGUAUGUUCAAAUUUGUAUGCAUGCCACAUAGUCAUGUCACUGUUGACGAAUUUACUGUAUUCGCGAUGAUGUUUUGUGGAAUGUUGGCAUUGAUCUCACACCUUAUUCGUAUGUGCAUAGAUGGAGCAAAUAACCGGAUACGCCAGUGAUGAUUCCGGUAGCGAUAAUGGAUCCUCGUCAUUGAAUGCGAAUCAACCUCCCGGAGUCAACUAUAUGAGUCAGGAUGAAUCGUACAGUGGUAAUGUAAGUGCCUUCAAUGUUGACCAAAACAUAAUGAAUACGAGUUAGUUAUUUCACACUUACAUGUCCUUUUAAAUUUGUACAGCUACAUGGCAAUGAUGACGAUGAGGAAUAUGAUAUAGAUGAACAAUUUUAUGCAGAUAGUGUGAGCCAGGUAUGUUGAAAAAAUUGUAGAGAAAUGAUUGACAUUAAAAUUGUAUGAACACUUAUGUUACUUUACAUGUGCACAGAUAAAUGCUAAUGUUGACAAUGAGCGUAAUAAUAUAGAUGAUGACAAUGCCGAGAGCGAGGUCGAUGCAUCUCGUAGUGGGAGUGGUAGCCAAGUAAGUUAUUUACAUUAUUUAUGGUUAGUAACAAUACAAGAACAGAUUGACAUGCAAGGUUAUAUGUCAUAUUUUGCAGGGAGGUGUUGAUGGUCCUAGCGGGAACGAUGAGCACAAUGAUGAUGAUCAGUUUGACCUUGACAUGUGCUAUGAUGAAUAUCAGCAAGAGUCACUUGAUAGGCAUUGGGCAGUGAUGCUAAAGACAUUCAGGUCAUUAGACGAGGUGUACACGUUCUACAACAAGCACGCGAGAGAACGUGGAUUCAGCAUCAGGAAGGACUCGCUAAAAUUCUUGAAGGAUCGCACAAGGACUCCGCACUUGAGGAGGUAUCUCUGUUCCGCCGCAGGAAAACGACAGGCCAAGUUCUGUACCAUGGAAGGCCGGACCCGCAGGCUUAGACCGGAGAGUCGAUUCUUAUGCGAAGCCCAUUUGAUAGUUAAGCUUGAUAAAAAGCUCAAUCUUUGGUAUGUCAGCAGUUUCUCCGAUGAUCACAACCACACUCUUGCACGACCGGACGAAGUCCCUUUCCUCCGAUCUCAUAAUCAGAUCAAAGCAUUGGAGAGAGCUGAGAUCUUAGCUACGGCUGGAGCUGGGAUAAGAAAACAUAUCAUUUUUGACAACAUCGUUAGCAGGUAUGGGUCGUAUGCAAAGUCACCGUUUCAGAGGACAAAGUUGUAUAACAUGUGCUAUAGGGAGAAGAUGAAAUUGCUUGCACAAGGUGAUGCUGAUACUGCCAUAGGGAUCAUGUUGACCAGAAAGGACAGAGAUCCAGACUUCUUCUUUGAGCACACGGUUGACGCUGAAGGCAGGCUCCAAAACCUUUUCUAGUGUGAUUCGCAGUCACGCCGGGAGACUAUGGUGAUGUUGUUGUGUUCGACAACACAUACAAGAUGAACAGGUAUGGAAUGUCGUUCAUCCCUUUUGUGGGUCUGAACAACCACCGUUGCACUACGGUAUUCGCCUGCGCCAUUGUUUCAGACGAGACUGAGGCUCCAUAUGUUUGGUUGCUUAACACGUUCUUGAAAGCUAACUGUCAGAAGAGGCCCAAAUCUGUAAUUACCGAUGGAGAUGCAGCAAUGGUAAGGGCCAUCAGGAAGGUGCUUUCUGAUGUGUGGCAUCGUCUAUGUUCAUGGCAUAUUGAAAAGAAUAUGCAGAAACACCUCAACCACAAGUCAUUGAAGGAGUUUAGGGCAUUAUUGUACUAUGCCACUACACAUAAGGUUUUUGAGGAGAGAUGGGCCGCGUUUGUGCGCAAAUGGCAGACGGAGAAAACGAAAACAUGGCUCCAUAGGAUGUACAGGAAGAGGAUGCUUUGGGCUGCAUCAUAUUUGUCUGGUGGGUUUUUUCCUUGGUAUGCGCAGUAAUCAGAGGAGUGAGAGUCUGAACUCCAGCCUGCACCUUCAUCUUGACUAUGGUAUGACAAUCGUUGACAUGAUUGUACACUAUGAGAAUUGUAUUGUUCGCCUCUGUGAGAAUGAAGCUUAUGAUGACUACACAGCCUCACAGACUCUUCCAGCAACAGUGACUGAGUGUCAGGCCAUUGAGUCGUAUGCUGCGAAGCAUUCACGCAGGCAAACUUUUAUAUGUUGCAACAAGAUAUGAAGAAGGUACAGGAGCUUGAGGUAAUUGAUAGACUGACAAGGACCGAUAGUCAGAGAUUUGUGGUUGCGUGGAAGAAUAACAGGGAUCACAGAUUUAAUGUGGACUAUACGCCAGGUAACUCCGCAGAAACUAUAAAGUGCAGUUGCCGAAGUAUGACUCGCAAAGGGCUUCCUUGCAAGCAUAUUAUUCAUGUUUUGAAUGCACUGAACUUACCUGUGAUACCCAAGUCUUGUGUCCUAUGAAGAUUCUCAAAAAAAGCACGAGCUGGACUGCCCGUGAAGCGCACCAGCGAUUUGUUUGCGUAGGAUUGGUCCAGUGGUGAGGACAGAGCUAGAUAUAGUGAGUUGACCAUCAAAUCUUCAGAACCAUGUCAUGUCGCAUGCAGUAAUCCUUUCUUAUUCGACAAGUUGAUGGCAGCUCUAGAUGAUAUUAUAGCGAAUAAGGACAUACAGGGAAAUGAAGAUGAUAGUCAGAGAAGCUUCGUGAAUAAUAAUCCAUUUGAGCCUAACCGAGACCAUAUUCUGGUUCGUGAUCCAGUAAAGAUUUCCACCAAGGGCGCACCUAAGCAGAACAGUAGAGGUCGCGGUAAGGGUGACCCAGAUGUGACAAAAAAUGAGAGGCCUAAAGCAUUUGACGAGAAAUCUGGACGAAAAUGUAGCAUAUGCAGCGGCUCGGGUCAUAACAGGAGCACAUGCAGCAAAAAUGAAGAGUAUGUCUAUUAUUUGUGUAUGUUAGUUUUGCUGUUUCAUUUACGGUACAUUGAUUCUCAUAGUUUUUUGUAUGCAGCAACUGGGCUUGAAGACAGAAGUGACGACGGUGCAUCUGUUUUACUGCUUCCAUUUAUAUGUAACUGUACGUCUUUUUGCUUUGUUUAUAUUAGUUUUGUUGAUUCAUCUACCGUACAUUGAUUCUCACAAUUUUUUUUAUUUAUUCUAUGCAGCAACUGGGCUUGAAGACUCAAGUGAAGAAAAUGCAAGUGCUUUACCUCUUCCAUUUAUGUUCAUGUUGAGUAUUUUAUAUGUGUGAAACAAGCUUAUUUCCUACAGACCGUUCUCAUUUGAGACUUGUUAUUUUCUGUCCACUACAAUAAAAUUACUGUGGUGGCAAUUGUUAUGUUGAGACAUCAUUGUUGUUGAUAUAAAUAUUCACUAUUCAUUGUUUAUAUGAUGAAUUCUGCAUGUAUUUACUAUAUAUUCAUUGUUUAUAUUAUGAAUUCUGCAUGUACUUACUAGUCCCGUCGGCUGUCAACUAUAUUUAAAUAAGAGAAGUACUGUGCGAAUUGUAGUUGAAAAAAAAGGAAAAAAAUGCCCACCUGUCUCCACGGCGUGUCUUAAUAAGACCGUCGUUAUCAAGCCCAGCGGGCGACUACAACUGGCGAUUCGGAGCACGCCGUGGAAACCAGGCGCAACAGGGCAGAAUGGACGGGUACAUCGACGGGGUAAUAGACCAGAGGAGUUCAAUGUGGCGACGGGAGCUCUGUAUAUAAACUGGUCGUCGUCGCCUUCGGCCGGCAAGGUGGGACUAGACUGAAUGUUAGUUUUCGUCGCGCGUCGUCUCAGCGGGGGUAACUGGGCCGGCCCACGGCGCGUCGAGCCGUUCAGAAGUCUGCGCCGUCCAUUGCCUUUUUGGGCCGGCCCACGUCGCGUCUGGCUGUGUCCACGUCACCCCGCGGCCGACGCAAGUUUAGUCCCACCUCGCCGGCCGAAGGGGACGACGAGCAGCUUAUGUACUCAGCUCCCAUCGACACAUUGAACUCCUCUAUUACUACCCGUCGAUGGACCGCGUCGAUGCUGCCCUGUUGGGCCUAGUUUGCACGCUGUGUUCUGAAACCACUGUCGUAGUCGUCCGGUGGGCUUGAUAAUGACGGGCUUACUAAGACACACUGUGGAUGGGCGGGCAAUUUUUUUUAGCUAAAAUAUUUUUUAAGCUUUUCUAAACUAAACUAACACACAGUGUGCUGUAAACUAACUUUGUGCUAACAAAGUAACACGCAGUGUGAUGCCAUAGUUUAGUGUACAAAACCUUAACAACAACACGAUUACAUAUAUGUAAAUCUAAACAUUUCGUUUAUUUUUUGUAAAAAGUUUUUUUUGUAUUUAUAAAUAAAAUCGACGCGUUUUUUUAAUAAUGCGUUACCAUAGUUUACAACUAUUCGGAAACAAAAAAAAUCAUGUAACAAAAAAAAGACUGAUUAUAUAAUAUUUAUGAAACACAAUAUCAUGUGGUCAUAAAAAAAGGUAAUUAAGUGUAUAAUCUUUUAGGAACAAAAUAGUGGCAAAAUCAAUAAAUAUGUCUAUUACAUAAAAUUUAUAAGCAAGUGCGCAAAGCGUUUGGAAAAUAUAGUCCUCCAGUACCACCCAAUCACAUGCAAAACUCCUCCGUGCCGCAUCUAUUUCUUCUUCUUUGAUAUCCGAAUAACUUUGUUUUUCACUUCAUCAAGCUUGUUUCUUUCCGAAAAGAUAAGUUGCGCAAUCAUUACCUCUCUCGAAUCAUCAAUUGACCUCUGAAAAAAAAGUGAUGUUAGCACAGCGUUCAUAGUACAUCGUAGUACAAACAUGACUUGCGUACCUGUGAAAAUAAGCCUAUCCAUUUGUCACCAUCCCAAUAUUGAAAGCAUAGAAGGAGAAAUAUUCCACACGAAUUCCUAGUGCAUACAAUUUAUGAAGAUUAAAUAUCUACUGUACAUACAGGACCGACAUGCUGUCAAAGUAAUAACUCACCCAUCAUGUUGUUUUGGCAUGUCAUACGUUUCAAUAGGCCAAUUGGAAACAUCCGGAUAAUUCACAAUUCCGGUUGCAUUUGCUUCCUGGAUAUCUUCUGCUAGUUGUUUUCUCUAAAGAUAUAAUAAAAAUGGUGGAAAGAAUGUCAUUCAGUGUACUAAAAAAACCAAUGUUACCAAAUGCACAUUUGAAAGUUAAACCUACCAGGUCCUCAACGAGUUCUCUAAUAACACUGUCAAGUUUUCCGUUCAUCAACGAGUCAAGAACCUGAAAUUCUCUCUUCCCGCGAUGCGUGACGACAAUAAUUCAGAGAUUGUUCUGCUUGUUUAGAGGAAUGUAAGUCUGCAUCACAAGGACCAUAAAACACAAUCAGCACAUACUAUCAUAUGUAUGUACCAUGUAACCAAUCAAACUUACCUUUGAUUUUUUGAAAUACUCGUCCUCACAUCUAUUCACGGGUCCAUUACUAUGUCGGUCCUGUAUGUACAGUACCACCCAAUCACAUGCAAAACUCCUCCGUGCCGCAUCUAUUUCUUCUUCUUUGAUAUCCGAAUAACUUUGUUUUUCACUUCAUCAAGCUUGUUUCUUUCCGAAAAGAUAAGUUGCGCAAUCAUUACCUCUCUCGAAUCAUCAAUUGACCUCUGAAAAAAAGUGAUGUUAGCACAGCGUUCAUAGUACAUCGUAGUACAAACAUGACUUGCGUACCUGUGAAAAUAAGUCUGUCCAUUUGUCACCAUCCCAAAAUUGAAAGCAUCGAAGGAGAAAUAUUCCACACGAAUUCCUAGUGCAUACAAUUUAUGAAGAUUAAAUAUCUACUGUACAUACAGGACCGACAUGCUGUCAAAGUAAUAACUCACCCAUCACGUUGUUUUGGCAUGUCAUACGUUUCAAUAGGCCAAUUGGAAACAUCCGGAUAAUUCACAAUUCCGGUUGCAUUUGCUUCUUGGAUAUCUUCUGCUAGUUGUUUUCUCUAAAGAUAUAAUAAAAAUGGUGGAAAGAAUGUCAUUCAUUGUACUUAAAAAAACCAAUGUUACCAAAUGCACAUUUGAAAGUUAAACCUACUAGGUACUCAACGAGUUCUCUAAUAACACUGUCAAGUUUUCCGUUCAUCAACGAGUCAAGAACCUGAAACUCUCCUCUUCCCGCGAUGCAUGACGACAGUAAUCCAGUGAUUGUUCUGCUUGUUUAGAGGAAUGUAAGUCUGCAUCACAAGGACCAUAAAACACAAUCAGCACAUACUAUCGUAUGUAUGUACCAUGUAACCAAUCAAACUUACCUUUGAUUUUUUGAAAUACUCGUCUUCACAUCUAUUCACGGGUCAAUUACUAUGCGACUCUACUUCAUAAUCGUUACCGGCGGUCUUCUUUCCGGGUCUAACGUGAAGCAACCAAUGUAUCCUCCAAGUUGUCAAUAUGAAACGAUCAUCACUAACUUUGUCGACCAAAUAUGAUGAGUAUGCAUUAAUUACCUAUAAAUAAUGUGUCAGAUUUAACAAUGGUGUUUUCGAAUCAAUUGUAAAACAAUAUAUGAAAUUAACUUAUGUCUCCACUUAGCCACUCAUGGUUAAUAAUCUGACAAGCUCUCCGCACAGUGAGACCUUCUUCCAAGCCAUCAUUGCAAUUUUCUGUUUUGGCAUGUUUUUGUGAAUGCUCAUGCGCGUGCACGUACUUGAUGGACGCUUUCACCACAUCAUACUCAUCACUAGAUUUGUUGACACCACCAUUUAUGAAAAAUUCUGUAACGCACAACUCAAAUAAUUAUAAACGCAAAUAUAUAAAUAAUUAUUACGCAAGAACAAUUAGAAACACAAAAAACUUACUUCCUUUCGCAGAACGUUUUGCACGCUUGUUCGGUUUAGGGACCACAUAAGGAGACUUGACAUGCUGUGAUCCUUUGCGCUUGCGCCUGCCAGUAACCUCCUCCACUUCCUCUUGUACUCCUUGAGAACCAAGCGACGCAUGCGAUGCAAUUUAGUCCGUCCCUAAAGAUGUGGCAGCUUUUUCAUCUGAUACUUCUGGUACUUGGAUAGGAUCAUCCAUAUCACCCUUGAAACUAUCCCAGUACUCAGGUGUGCAGUAAAAAGGUGUGUUUCCACGAGAAGUUACAUCACCGCCGUCAUCAUCCUUUUGCAAAUUCAUUUUGGAAGGUGUGCGGAACCGGUCUGAAUCAUCUUUUUGAUAUACAAACUCUUUUUUCGGACGUCCACCAUCGUUUGAAGACUCAUUAAUGCCUCCGUACAGAUUCUCUUCGUCCUCUUCCAGGUUACUGGGUUUGUAGAAGACGUCGGUUUUGUUCAGUUUCUCAAUCAUCCUCUGCAAGAAAACAUUUUAUCUUAGUUCUUCAAUUCAGUGAUGGAUAUUAAAGUGACGUGCUCAAGUGUUACAUGUGCGCAUAACUCUGGCAAACGAAGCAGUUCCUUUCGAAGCUCAUUCAUCUCACUCAAAAUCCGGUCCAUAGUAGGCUUCUGGCUCGAAGCCUCUGAGGUACUGCCCUCUUUCCUCGUUCCAGUAACGUUAGACUUUUUGCUACUAGCUUUCUUGGUUUUUUGAGCUUCUUCUUCUACAAUUUUUUUCAGCCUAUACUCCUCUGUAAUGUUGUCAUCGAUCUACAAAUGCAACAAGAGAAUUAUACAUACAAACCAUACGCACACUUAACUUUGUUUCAUAAAUGUAAAAAAACAUGAUUACUAGGAUUACCAUCCCAACACCACGACCAUAUUCAUAGUCGUAUUUGUCUCUUCUCACAGCCAUAUCUUCCGUCCAGUUCCUCAUCAGCGGGCUCAACAAUUCCAACGGAUCAUAUUUGGACCGGUGAUUGGUUGCACCUUCUCCCAGUAUAGGUACUGCAAAACACAUAAACUAAUUAAAUUAUAUGUUUUUCCGUGACAUUUUCUAAGAAAAGUGUUCAAAUUAAUAAAUACAACGUACUUGCAAAUGGGCGAGGUUCCCCUGGGGCCACUGCCUAACAUGGCCGUCCUGCAGAAGCUUACCAAUCUCCGACAAACAGAAUCGUGAAGUGAAUGCAUUCCAGUUGAACUUCCGUAUCAACUUAAUAUUUUGCACUAAGGCAUAGUAUUUUUUCGGAACGUAUUCAUGAGACACUGGUGCAAUUAUAGUUCCUAAAAGAACUAGAAAUGUCAUCCGAAUAAAGUCAUUGUUGUUGUUCUCACAAUCUUUUCUAUGAGAUCAUCAAUCAUGAUCUUACCAUUUUUCUUGCUAACAAAACUAACUGGUAUUUUUUGGUUGCUUUUUCUCCUUCAGUACUAAGAAACCCAAAAGCAUCCACUCCAUUGUUUUUCCAACCAAAAAGGAGUACACAUCAUCAGGCUUAGUGAAAUAAGACCUUUACUUCCAGCAGUACUUCCAGAACUCUCUUCAACCAUAAAUUUUUUGCUACUCAGAUUGUAACCUUGGAGUAAAAAGUGAAGCAAAAAAUCACGCAUCUUUAUCGAUGGUAUUCUAAACAUGCCCUGCAUAUCCGUUUCAUAAAACCGGAAUUUCUGACUGGGUGACAGUUUGUCAACUAGGCUAACCCACUUUUGAACAGAACAUGGAAUCACACCGUCGAUAUUCAUACUGCAUCAAAUAGAUUUUUGUCACAUACCAUCGUACUGCUAUGAGCCUCAUUGUAUAAAGCAACUGGAAAAAAAACUUACACGACAGCGACGGUGGGAGAGGCACCGGCGGCGAAUAAAGGGCGACGGGUCAGGGGACGCAAGCCGGCGCGGGCGCACGGACGGUGUUUGGACGGUGGGAUCUACAUGUGAAGCGGAGUACAUGGCAGCCUCGGAGGCAGCGCAUGAAGCGAUUUGGGUGAAGGAGUUCAUCACCGACCUAGGAGUCAUACCCAAUGCAUCGGGGCCAAUCAAACUCUUCUGUGACAACACUGGAGCUAUUGCCCUUGCCAAGGAGCCCAGGUUUCACAAGAAGACCAGGCACAUCAAGCGUCAUUUCAACUCCAUCCGUGAAAAUGUUCAAGAUGGAGACAUAGAUAUUUGCAAAGUACAUACGGAUCUGAAUGUCGCAGACCCGUUGACUAAACCUCUUCCGCGAGCAAAACAUGAUCAACACCAGAACUAUAUGGGUGUUCGAUUCAUCACAAUGUAACUAGAUUAUUGACUCUAGUGCAAGUGGGAGACUGUUGGAAAUAUGCCCUAGAGGCAAUAAUAAAAGGAUUAUUAUUAUAUUUCCUUGUUCAUGAUAAUUGUCUUUCAUUCAUGCUAUAAUUGUAUUAUCCGGAAAUCAUAAUACACGUGUGAAUACAUAGACCACAAUACGUCCCUAGUAAGCCUCUAGUUGACUAGCUCGUUGGUCAACAGAUAGUCAUGGUUUCCUGACUAUGGACAUUAGAUGUCGUUGACAACGGGAUCACAUCAUUAGGAGAAUGAUGUGAUGGACAAGACCCAAUCCUAAGCAUAGCACAAGAUCAUGUAGUUCGUUUUGCUAGAGCUUUUCCAAUGUCAAAGUAUCUCUUCCUUAGACCAUGAGAUCGUGUAACUCCCGGAUACCGUAGGAGUCCUUUGGGUGUACCAAAUGUCACAACGUAACUGGGUGACUAUAAAGGUGCACUACAGGUAUCUCCGAAAGUGUCUGUUGGGUUGACACGGAUCGAGACUGGGAUUUGUCACUCCGUAUUACGGAGAGGUGUCACUGGGCCCACUCGGUAGUGCAUCAUCAUAAUGAGCUCAAAGUGACCAAGUGUCUGGUCACGGGAUCAUGCAUUACGGUAUGAGUAAAGUGACUUGCCGGUAACGAGAUUGAACAAGGUAUUGGGAUACCGACGAUCGAAUCUCGGGGAAGUAACAUACCGACUGACAAAGGGAAUAGUAUACGGGGUUGCUUGAAUCCUCGACAUCGUGGUUCAUCCGAUGAGAUCAUCGAGGAGUAUAUGGGAGCCAACAUGGGUAUCCAGAUCCCGCUGUUGGUUAUUGACCGGAGAGCCGUCUCGGUCAUGUCUGCAUGUCUCCCGAACCCGUAGGGUCUACACACUUAAGGUUCGGUGACGCUAGGGUUGUAUGAAUAUGAGUAUGCAGCAAACCGAAUGUUGUUCGGAGUCCCGGAUGAGAUCCCGGACGUCACAAGGAGUUCCAGAAUGGUCCGGAGGUAAAUAAUUAUAUAUAGGAAGUGUUGUUUCGGCUAUCGGGAAAGUUUCGGGGUCACCCGGUAUUGUAUCGGGACCACCGGAAGGGUCCCGGGGGUCCACCGGGUGGGGCCACCUAUCCCGGAGGGCCCCGUGGGCUGAAGUGGGAGGGGAACCAGCNNNNNNNNNNNNNNNNNNNNNNNNNNNNNNNNNNNNNNNNNNNNNNNNNNNNNNNNNNNNNNNNNNNNNNNNNNNNNNNNNNNNNNNNNNNNNNNNNNNNNNNNNNNNNNNNNNNNNNNNNNNNNNNNNNNNNNNNNNNNNNNNNNNNNNNNNNNNNNNNNNNNNNNNNNNNNNNNNNNNNNNNNGGGGGGGGGGGGGGGGCGCACCACUUGCCUUGGGGGGCACUCCACCCCCUUGGGAGAUUGCAUCUCCCAGGGCCGGCGCCCCCCCUGGGGGCCUAUAUAAAGGAGGGCAGGGGGGAAGGCAGCCGCACCCCUUGUGUCUUGGCGCCUCCCUCCCCUGCUACACCUCGUCCUCCUCCCGCAACAGCUUGGCGAAGCCCUGUCGGAGUUCUGCUGCAUCCACCACCACGCCGUUGUGCUGCUGGAUCAUCAUCAACCUCUCCUUUCCCCUUGCUGGAUCAAGAAGGAGGAGACGUCAUCCGCUCCGUACGUGUGUUGAACGUGGAGGUGUUGUCCGUUCGGCACUUGGUCAUCGGUGAUUUGAAUCACGGCGAGUACGACUCCAUCAUCACCGUUCUCUCGAACGCUUCCGCACGCGAUCUACAAGUGGUAUGUAGAUGCAAUCUCUCUCCCAUGACUCGUUGCCUAGAUGAACUCAUAGAUGGAUCUUGGUGAAACCGUAGGAAAAUUUUUAAUUUUCUGCAACGUUCCCCAACAGUUACUACCUUCAUAAUGCAAAGUGACAUAAUAGUAGUAUCAUGGAUGGCUUAUUUAUUAACUUGUAGACUCAUCUUGUCUCGUAAACAUAUUAUGUUACCACCUCUCAUUAACUACUUGCCAUGUAAGCAAAAUUUUCUUGAAAUGCACUAUGUUACUGCCUAAGUUAUUCCCACUAUGACUAGCCUUAGUGGCCUCUAUCACCCGCUAUAGCGGCCGUAGCGUUUUGACGUGCCAGCCGCGAAAUGCUUUUGCCCGCGAUCUUAAACUUUGCUCCACACUCAUCCUCUCCUCUCCUCCACACAGUUGGUCUCCUCCACACAGUUGGUCUCUGGAUUUCUCGCCCAUUCCCAUCUCCGCCCACCUCUCUCUGUCCUGCCUCCCGGCGAGCGUCACGGCUUCUCCGGCGAGCCCACCACUAUCUGCUCCUCCUUCCCUUCCUCUGCAACGAGUUUUCUCCUAUAUUUUCUCAUUAGCCCUUUCACUUCCUGCUCCCCCAUGAACAUGUCGCAUAUAGAGACCAGCGGUGGAUCCAUGGACGACGGGACAGAGGAUAAGCAUGUCGGGGAGCUCCAACCGGUGGACGGAAGAGCUGCAACCGGCCACGUGGGAUCUGCAUCCGGUGCCUAUGACAGGGGUGGUGCUCCAUAGGUACUGGAUGACGACGCAUGGUGAGCGCGAGGGACGCCAUGGCCGAUGACUGGAAGCGAUGCGGCCGCUGACGGUGAUAGGCGUGCUGGUGCUGCAACCGCAGUUCGUCAGUGUUACAACUGUGGUGGGGGAAAGCUGGAACCAUGGUCUGGCUAGUUGCAAGGCGCCUACAUGCUGGCGACGGGGUGCUACAACCGUGGCUAAAAAAGCUGGAAGCGCUAUCCAGCAGUGCUGGAACCAUGGCCUGGUGGAGCCACAAGGCGGUGCCCCUGCUGACUAGAUGCUAUAACUGUGUUUUGGAAGAGAUGGAACCAUAGUCUGGUGGAGCUGCAAGCCUGCAACCACAUUCCAGCGGAGCUAUGAGGUGACACCUCGAGGCUGGAAUGUUGCCACCGGUGGAUGAAACAAGGGCGUGAGUUUUGUUUUGCUACAUCUUGUUGUGUUUUUUGCAGGAAACAUAAUUUGAUUUUGUUAGAAUCAGCCAACCUUUUUUCUUCAACCAUUUAAAUGGUGUUGGGCUGCGACCACUUUGCAGGAAUUUUGUUGUUUUGCUCGAAAUAGCAUUUGAUUUUGCUGGAACCGGCCAGACGAUUUGCUUCAAUUGGCAAGAUGGUGUUGCACAGCGAUUUUUGCUGGAACCUUGUUUUUUUGCUGCAAUCUUUUGUGUUUUUUGCUGGAAAUAGCUUUUGAUUUUGCUGGAACCGGUCAAAGCAGAUAUCUUACUACAACCAUCAAGCGGGUGAGCGGCCACGACGAGCUGCGCCUAGGAGUCGGCGAGCGGCCACUUUGUGCUAUGUCUGCGAGCCGGUGAGCGGCCCCGGCGAGCGGCGGCCACAGAGCUACAAUCGUCGCCACGGGGGAGCUGCAACCGCGGGCAUAUGUUGUUGGCAAGAAAGGGAGGAGGCGGCGGCGGGACCGGUGACGGCGACGAUGACUGGCGGCAAGGGCAGCGACCGAGGAGAUGCGCGGGAGGUGCUUCGAGGUUGGCGCGUCGUCGUCCAUGGCGGCGUGUCCAAAACUUUUUCUAAAUGAAGAAGAAGUUUGAGGAAGAAAGAAGGGAAUCGCACGGUUCCUGAUUUGUUUGAUCAUACGGUGCUGGUCUGACCGGCCCAAAUUUGGACCGGCGCGCCGGCGCCUAGCACCCGCCUUUCUUCAAGUGCUAACUGUCUCUACAUAACGCGUGAUAUGGUUAGCUCUCUUGCUAACUUUCUCACCAAAGAAAGUGUGAGCCAAUCACUAACAUGGAGGCAUGUAAUACUCACGUUGUGACUUUUUUUCAGAGAGAAGGAUGAUAUACCCAGGCCUCUGCAUCUGGCCGAUGCAUGCAGCCAAUUUAGUAAUUAUUCAAAAGGACACUACAAAUUAAAACAUCAGUAAUGCUGCAGUCUCCAUCUUGGCAAAACCUGUCACAACUCCUAUUCCCUUGAUGAGUGGGUACCAAAUGGUGGGCCGAAUACCAGACAAACAUCACACCAAAGCCUAACAUCUAUAGCCGGAUACACCAUCCAAGCCACAAUGACGGAACUGGGUCGUACACCUGUCCGGCGCACUCUCAGUGGGCACCACAUGCACACAUUGCAAAGGCCGUCACCACCUUCUUCCAUCGAUCCAUCUUCAGAGCAGAUACUAAAGCAUCGACCCUGCUAGGCCUCUCUGCCAUCGACCCACCAUGACGCCAGACAACAUCGUCCUACAGUGCGAGUCCAUCGCUACACAUCGAAUGCCGAGUCUUCACUGCGCCACGCCACCGAGAUCCAUUGCCAUCAAUGUAUAGGAUGAAGCACCGCUCCAGCAAAGAUGUCGUCCACUGGUACCUCGAGCCUGUGUACACCUCCCAGAAUGCUGCUUCCAGGGGGAAACCACAGAAGAGCUUCGCCGUCAUCCGAUCUACUCAACGAUGAUAGCUUCAAGAAGGGAAUGCUACCGAAGAGUGCCGCCAUGGCCGGCCUUGGCAGCUAGCCCAGAACAGGUUUUCACCCAAAUCAGUUCAAAGAACCUCCAUUAAAUGUCUUGUGCACGGAUCGUCACCUUCUCUGACGGGGACUAGACGAAAAGUGUCCGGCCGCCACCGCCGCCUGGACGAACACGACACCACCACAGUGCCUAAGCAGCCGACGUGGUCAGGCCCGCCUUUGCUAGGCCGUCGCCGCAGAACCGAUCCGUCAGCCUGCCGAAGCCCACCUGGGUCGGGCAAGAUCCGCGAACCCGGUCACCACCACAGGAGCACCUCCGGUGCGGGGUGACUGCGCCUUGCUAUCGCCAUCAUGAUGUGUGUCAACGCCACCAUGCGAGGGAGAAUGCCCCUCCGCCGGCGUCAUAUAUAGCCCGCAGCAUAGGAUUCGCCCGGCGUAGUCUCCGGCGGCGGUGGGAGGGAGGGGUCGAGGAGAGGAGGUUGAGGGCCGGCGGUGUGAUCUCCCCCUUUGUCACCUAGUGUUGGCGACGCGGGGGAUGAUUGGGUUCUCGGGCCAGGUGUGUGACCUGUACUUCGAGAGGUUUACAUGGUACGUACCAAUACUCACAUUGUGAUGGCCGACAACAAGAUAUUUAGCUUCUUUAUGUCGCUUCAGAGGUGUACGCAUGCAAUAAGUAAAUUAAGAAUGGUAUGGAUAAACUGGUCGAAUUCAAAGUAUUACUAAUAUAGCAUUAAGAACCAUGAUUCACAUUAACCACACACUUAUAAGACCUCAAUGAGCAUAAAAGUCUUUAACACAUGGCAUCCACCCAUCUUCUAAACUUUACUGCUCAUGCAAUUCAAUAUGGUUAUGCCAGAGAAAUUAGGACGUAUUUAUCUAUGUUUUGUCCCUAUUUCGUAAUAAUUAUACUAUUAUAUUUUUUAGCAUGAAAUUGUACAUAGUAAACAUAAUAUAUGUUUUGUAAUUGUUAUUAGAUACUGCUCCGAUAUCCAAAUUUGAUUGUACAAAAAGAAUGCAACAUCUUCGGGAUCCCACAUUUUUGUAGGCAAAAUUGAAGAGAGAGAAAAUGAAUGAGUUUUGACCUAUUAUGUACUAUCAGAUUUUGAGUAAUUGUUGAUCUCAUCAUAUAUAAUUUCUUACAGCACCAUCCCUACUUAGGGAAAAUAGGUCAAAUUAACAUCCAUUCUCUCUGAAACAAAAAUGAUCCAAGAUAAAGGAGGGGACGCCCUAAAAUUGCAUGAGAAAUUUAGUUACUCAAAAUCAUAUACUUCAAUUCACACAUGCAUGACCAUAAUUAAAUCAUAAUAAACACCUUCUAAGAGUUCCUACCUAGUAGAAACUGACAUCCUUCAUGGGAUGAAAUCAACUGAUGACACAGUGAACCCUGAAAUUAAGAAGCACCAAACCAAUUAUGCACAACAAAAUCAUAUAAUAUAAAACACACAUAGCCUAUAGUACGAUGGCAGACCUAGAUAUGCUUUGUAUACAUGCCUUAUAGACUACACAUGGUAGGAGAAGCAAUGCCUCUAUUUUUUCGUCAAAUGGAAAGCCUGGAAAGAAUGGUCAAGAAAAAAUAGUAUUCGCUGCAUGGCUGAGUGUACUGCGUUGCAAUUUCCCCACCAAAUGUUGUGGAGUGCAUGUAGGCAGCCGGACAUGUGUCCCUUUAUGGUGGCCACCAUGUGCACUACUAAAUGAAAGCAACACACAGGACAGGCCAAAUGCAACAUGAUAUAGAGGAGGCUUCUCUUGCUUUACACCAGCAUAACUCAUAUAACAAUCAAAUGAGCAGUCGAGAGAGAUGAUGGCUGCAGAAUCAAACAUGCCUUUUGUUGAUUUUUUUUCCUGGACAGCAAAGAGAGGACAAAAGCAAGGAGUUAUCCACGUGAAAGGGGCCAGGAAAGCCAAGUGCUUCAUCGCAUGGAUAAAAAUACGUCAUAGAUCGAUCUGAAGGAAAUUUUCUUAUAAGCUCUAGAUUUAAAGCCGAGUUACAGCAGCUUUGGUUUGUUAGCUUUGGCUAAUUAUUUAGUGUUUCACCAAAAGAAUGGUCCAGACGCUAGAUCGGCAAUAAGUCUGGUUGGGAACGAGUGAAAAUGUCGCCAAGUGAAGCCGAGCAGGCACCUCCUCCAACUGCGUGUCGACGUAGCAGAAGCUACCCCCUCAGUCGCGUCUCGGGGCAUUAGGCGGUGUCUCGCACUCCGAGCGGAAAUGCACCGCACAUCCACAGUUAAUGCACAUUGUCUCCUUGCGGGUCCUGGGGCGGCCAACUCCGGCAGAGGGUGGCACCAGAGCCUCCUGCUCCGGUGCCCCCGCGAGUGUGGGUAUGUCGACCACCCCGAUAAGCUUCUUCUUCUUUUUGAGCGGUGCAGAAAGUCCCGGAUCCUUGGGGAGUGGCGUGGAGGGAGUACCCCUGCAGCCGAGACCCACCCCGCCUCCACUCAGGGUCAUCUUCCCGAGCCGAUCACAAGUCCUUGCGCCGUCCGAAACUCAACUCGUCGGACGAUCUAUCAACGGCCUCACGCCACCCCCCACGGUCAUCAGCCACCUCUCGAGACUCGUAUGCAGAGCGGUUUCCUUGGGCACACCGUCGUAAGUCCCAAUCUGAGGGCCGACAACGACUCUCCCUAGACUUGGUAUGCCAGGCCACGGGAUCCACCCGGGUGCGCUGGGCCGGUGUCGGCCGAGCCUCCAGCUCCCGCCGCAAGGCCGUCUCCCUCACCUCGUCCUCGGCCCGGCGAUGGGCAGUCUCCUUCCGGCAAAGGCUGCCCAGUGACCCGUGCAGGGGCAGCCUGGGAUCACCGCAGGAUCUUCGGGGGUGGAGGUCGGCGCAGGAUGUGCUAGUGUAGAUUGCCGAUAUAUGGUUGCGGCCCAGCGAGCCAGCCCCAUCGGAGCGCGCAACGGAUGACCCCGAAGGCAGCGGCCUCUUAGGCCGUGCGAGACCACUCCCCUAUUCCAUAGCCAUAAGGACCUCCCCGUAGGUGCAGACCCGGGGCGAGGUGUUGGACGAGGCCGGCGAAGUCUUCGGCGAGGGCGUCGCAGAGAAAGCGAGAGGGGGGUGAGAACAGUGGCUGGCCACGCAGUUGGACAAGUGGAGGCAAAAGAUCGAGCAAAUCCGCCCACUUGGCCACUCAAUCCUAGAAGCUGGCCAUCAUGUUCGCGGGUCGUGCUCGCCAUUAGAUCCAGAUCCAAUGGUUGGGAUCCGCCGGAGCGAGCCUCCACUGUUGGUUAGCCAACCCAAUGUCCUCCUGGGUCAUCCAACCCAAGGACGAUCGCAAACCGCCUUGGGUCGUGACUACGCAGGCUGGCCCAUGCAUCGUCCAUCCCAACCACUGUGCGGGCCGCCGUCGGCUCACACAGCAGAGUAGCAUGCGUCGGCCCCGACUAGGAGCUUGACUCCCCACUAGGGUAUGUGGCACCAAGGCGACGGCGGUGCCUGGCCACACCAAGGCGAACGUCCGGUCGUAGAUCCAUCGCAAAGUAGCCCAGGAUGGCCAGUAGGCAGCAGAUCAAGAUCCUGGGGAGUCACCGUGGUGCCUUGGGCCAUGCCCACGAGGAGUCGCCUCCGAUGACCACGGGUAGGUAGGGGCACCGGCAUAGCCAUCGGGCGCACAGCCAACGUGCCGCGCGCGUGAGUCGGCCUCGCCGCCGCCAAGAACUCACCCAACCAAGGCGGCACCACGGACACGGGAAGCUCUACCCGCCCCUCCCCCUCUUCUUCCUCAGCCAAUUCUGCCAUGUCUGCCCAGCUAUGGGGGAGUGGGCCAGGAGCAUGGUCGGCGAGCUGUGAGCCGUGGCGGCCAGGCCCAACAGGGGAGCAGGUGCUUCCCCGCCAGCCAUGCCGAAGACGGCGGCCAGCGCGGUCGGGUCCAGCGGUCCGGAGGUGGAUUUCAAAAUCGCCAAACGGUCGGAAGCGCUCCUCUCCAUGCUUAACCAAUCAUGGAUCUCGUCCGGGCACCUAUAUUUGUGUGCUGAGUUGUCGUAUUAACAUGUGAAAUGAUUAGUUGGAGCUACACAGUGUAAUACACGAUGCAUCCAAUACUCUCUCCACAAGAAAAUGAUUUGCAUUUUAUUUUCAUUUUGACGUUUGCAAUGAGUGAUACUUAACUUUCCAACCAUAUUUUGUUUUUGAAUUUUUUAUAUAUUUGAAUCAAGAAAACCAAGACUUUUAGAAGAAGAUGGAUCUUGGAUAUAUAUUUGAAUCGAGAACAACAAGACUUUUCAACGAUCUUGGGUAUGUGGUCCUUGACAUUUACAACAAUAUGAAAACUACGCGCUUCAUUUGCUUUAGAAGGCCAAAUACAUAUUUUCAUAUUCACUUUGAGAAAGUACGAUAUGAUCUGUAUCAACAAUAUAUGCUAUGUAUGCCAUAGAAAUUCUACUAAUGGAAAUACAAAUUUGAUGCUAUACCUUUCAGAAUGGUGACAUAAAGACAAUAUAGAACAGAGAUAUGCAUGUCAACAUUAAUUUAGGAGAUACAUAAAAAUGCAUGAUAUUAUCUAAGAUCUGUUUGCGUCAUCAAAUUCAACCGAUGCCUAAUGUUCAUUCUGUAAGCUAGCACCACCAACAAUUAAAUAAACAUAAGAAAAUAUAGAAACAAGGAAUAAUAAAAGUAGUAGUGCCAUUUUUAUUUGAUGAAACAAGAUAUGUGAUAUUAAUACCAUUGCAUGAGAGAAAUAAAUGCAAGAUCAUUGUGUGAUAUUUGAUUGUGACUCUAUAUUAAAACUAGCACUACAUUUAAAUAAAUAUGAAAUAAAUGCCAUUUUAUAUAAAAGAGUGUACAUCAUUGUGUAGAACAAGCAUGAUGUGGCAACAAUAAUGUAGGAGCAAUACAUGGAUGCAAGAUCAUUACCUACGGUGUGCAACAUUUAUUUGACCAAACAAGAUAUGUGCUAUUUUCUGUAAUACAGUGAUAUUAAUACCAUUGCACGAGAUAAAUAAAUGCAAGAUCAUUGCCUAAUACUCGAUUACGACUCUAUCUAGAUUGAAGUACUACAUAUAAAGAGCAUGAAAUGUAUAACAUUUAUAUUAAAGAGUGUAUGCCAUUUAUGUAGAACCAUCAAGAUAUGACAACAAUAUCUUUUGUGAUAUACUUGGAUGCUAUAUCAACACAUAAGAUGCUAUUGGGCCUCUCUAAUAGAUCGCAGCAAGUGAAUUAGUUUAUUGGCAAGAAAAAAACACACAUGAACAUAAGAAGGAAGGAGGAAUAUAAUAGAAGUAAUAUCUCUGUUCUCAUGGGGCUCACCAAGAGCACUACAACACAAUCAACAAUCGUGUGCUCGGUGCUUGUUGCAUUCCUGGUGCUUGCUAUGAUAUGUUCUACCUUGCCAUCUUGCCAUGCACGAACUGGUUUGUAAGACAUCUCCCUAUUUCUAUAUGCAUUUUCCAAAUUAUUAAAUUUGCUAAUGCUUUGGUACACCCCUUAGGAAAGUUUAUAUGGAUGUUAAAAUUACUUUAAAAAGGAAUAUUCAUGUACAUUGAUGGUUAACUAAUUCUAACGCCUGUCUUCUCGACGGCUCAAUCAAGAGACCAGAACCAACCGUGGCACCCGCUCCAUGAUAAAGAAACUAUAACCAACAAUGGCUAGCCUUCUCUGUGACAUCCGUUGCUCCAUGGCCUACCAAUAUUUCCCACAAGAAAGACUUAUAUAAGGCCCUCGGUGAUUACACGUACAAAUAUUGUAGUGUUCUUGAUUAUUGGUAGGCAUAAUUAUUAAUGAUGUUAAAUGGAUUGUGUUUCAAUUUUUUGAGUAGCUUGUACGGUAGGUAGAACAAAGCGUGAGCACGGAUUUUGAAUCAAAGGCGUCUAUACGGCCCAAAUUAGUGUGGGGUGGGAGACUUGAAAGAUCGGUUUUCAUAUCAAAUUAGAUUACUAAUGGCUAGUGGGCGUACGCGAAACCAUAAUGACACAACGUCUACCCUUGACAGAAUUACCCAUGUAUAUUGCCGCACCAGCCUGCAGAUGAAGCAUUGAACCAAUUGAAUUGGAUAUAAAAGAAUAAACUAGCCUAUUAUGAUUGAAGGGGUAACUCUCAAUCACCACCUUCCAUCUUCCUAAAAAUUUGUAAACUUUUCAAGGGUGGUCUACAUAAGCAAACCUCAAUUAUCGUAUCAAAAAAUGCAUGUUGUUUGAUAUAUGUGUACAUGUUGAAUUAUGCAGAACCUAAUAAGGUGCAUGUGGUGUGCAAGCCAAUGGAUCCAUGUGUCAAUGAUAAAGGCUGCAAAGCUAUGUGUGUAGGUAUGAGCAUGCCUUUCUGGAUUCCCCUUUGUAAGGGGAGCAUUUUUCCGAUGUGUUGCUGCGUAGAGCCUCAAACUCAUUAGUAGUUCUCCACCUGAGCUAUGCAAUGCUGAAUAAUUAUAUGCUUGU
rnacentral:lncRNA from 1 species